rnacentral:rRNA from 1 species
GAUGAACGCUGGCGGCGUGCCUAACACAUGCAAGUCGAACGGAAAGGCCCUGCUUUUGUGCGGUGCUCGAGUGCCGAACGGGUGAGUAACACGUGUGUAUCCUGCCCUUGUCUUUGGGAUAACAUCAGGAAACUGGGGCUAAUAUCGGAUAGGAUCUCCUGCAGCAUGGUGGGCGUUGGAUAGUUUCGGCGGUUGGGGAUGGACUCGCGGCUUAUGAGCUUGUUGGUGGGGUAGUGGCAUACCAAGGCUUUGAAGGGUAGCCGGCCUGAGAGGGUGACCGGCCACCUUGGGACUGAGAGACGGCCCAGACGCCUACGGGAGGCAGCAGUGGGGAAUAUUGCACAAUGGGCGGAAGCCUGAUGCAGCAACGCCGCGUGCGGGAUGACGGCCUUCGGGUUGUAAACCGCUUUCGCCUGUGACGAAGCGUGAGUGACGGUAAUGGGUAAAGAAGCACCGGCUAACUACGUG